rnacentral:lncRNA from 1 species
UCUAAGAUUCGCAGAGCUGAGAAGUGCGAUUCAUUCUCUGAAGGCCUGAUUUGACCAUGGAAAUAGUUGGAGCGCAAGACAAGAACUUGUAGCUGAGGAAGAGUUCCCAACCAGUGGGGAAAGGUAUCAUUUAUCUUGUUGUUUCCAAGAUUUAACACUUGCAAAUCACGACAGUUCUCCAAGGAUUUAGGAAAUGGCCCAUCAAAAUCAUUGUUGUUGAGGUUAAGUAUCUGUAAGUUGUUUCCUACAACAAACGAAUCAGGGAGUUUCCAUCAAUGGUUGUAAAAAGAGUUAGAAUUCUCUCAAGUUCAAUGUCAAAACCUUUCACUGUGACACGCACGGAAAAAAUGGUAAUAAAGAUUAAAAUCUUCCAUAGAUUUCCUUAGAACAUUGGACAAAUUCAUCAUACCCCUAAAAUUUUUAAAAUAUGUUGUUGGUAAAAAACCAGAGAACUCAUUGUGGGAGAGGUCUAAGAUUCCCAGAGCUGGGAAGUGCGAUUCAUUCUCUGAAGGCCUGAUUUGACCAUGGAAAUAGUUGGAGCGCAAGACAAGAACUUCUAGCCGAGGAAGAGUUCCCAACCAGUGGGGAAAGGUAUCAUUUAUCUUGUUGUUUCCAAGAUUUAACACUUGCAAAUCAUGACAGUUCUCCAGUGAUUUAGGAAGUGGCCAGUCAAAAUCAUUGUUGUUGAGGUUAAGUAUCUGUAAUUUGUUUCCUACAACAAACGAAUCAGGGAUGUUUCCAUGAAAUUUAUUCGUGUGCAAAUCUAGGACUGUAAGAUUAGGGAUCUUACCUCUCGAGAUCAGACAAUCUGGAAUAGCUCCACUCAACUUGUUAUUGGACAAGUCAAGAAUUGAAAUUGACAUCAAAUUACAUAUGGAAGAAGGAAUUUCUCCAAUCAAGUUAUUUUUUGAGGUUAAGAAAACUUCCAGGGAAGAAUUGGAAGAGAAACUAGAUAAUGAGCAAUCAACUUUAAAGUUCAAGGACAAGAGGAGGAAAGAAAGGACCAAAUACCAUUGUAUGAACCCUUUCAUUUUUCUUUUCUCAGAAAUGAUGAAAGAAGCAAAAUGGAAAGCUGAAUGUGAAGGCUGAGAGAGAUAAGAGUGGAGCCAUAUUUAUACACAUGAUUUCAAGCAAACAACCACCAGUCAUGUUCAGACAUUCAAACAACCAAUUUUUUUUUGGGAAGUCAAACAACCAUUUUUAUUAUUGAUAUUUUUUAAAAGAAAAUUAUUUCAUACAUUGUUAAUUUGUAAAUUUCAUCAACUAAAUUAAUUAGAUUGUCACAUACUUCAAUAUUAAAAUAUAUUUAAAAAAUUAAUAAUUUAAUACAAUACAUAAAAAAUAUGUAACAAUAUUUUAACUUUAAGUUAGAAACAUGGGGACUAUUGUUUUUUUGGUAACCCCCACUGGUUCAAUUCAAGUAACCAAAAAACUUAUCUCUCGUAAUUAUUAAUAUCAUAAAUAUUGUUUACGAUAUUUUAUUGUAGCCUUAGAAUUCAAGCCAUCAAAGAAUCAGCGAAGAGUGCAAUAAACUUUUUGUCAGAUAUGAAGUUUUUUAAAAACUUCUUAUGCCAUUAAUCAGAUAUUAAUUUAAAAACAAAAUGAUCUUGAUAAGCUCAACUAGAAAGUCCAUAGUGCUUUCCAAAUUAGAAGCCAUCGUCUACCUCCUCAAGCAUACUCAACAUGCCAACCCCACAUAUCGUGAAACAUGCUGUCCUUCGGACAUAUUUUAAGCUUUAAAAUAGAUACAAAUUUGGCACCUUCAUUGCACUUUGAUUCAAACUGAUAGGUUUGUUUACGAUGUCAGUGACAAACUUAUAUGUAUAUUCUCAAAGCUUCAUGAAUUUGAUUAUUAAAGAAAAAAAAGAUGAUCAUGAUCCAAUAUCUCAAUUUUAUGAAAUCUAAUUUUGAAGAAAGAAAUUUCAAACCCAGUUCUUUAUUUGUUAUCUUCGUCGAAUACUUACCCAAGUGCAAAGGCUUAUCGUUAGUAUUCACAUCUUCCUAGUCAAAUAGUUCAAUUCAAGUCCUCUCUUUUCUCACAUCCAAGGGAAAAUCAAAGAGAAUUUCCGUAGUUUUAACGGAAAAGAAAAGAACAGGAAAGAACAAAGUCAAGUCUUUUUGCAGUGCCUUCCUUCCGUGUUAAAUUAUAGUGUAAUUUACAAUUGAGACCUCCAUUGCUACAAAAUUUAUAGUAUAAUUUAACAUGUAAGUGUUCAACUAGUCAAAAAGCAAAUGAAUAAUAUAUCCAUGAACAUCAUGCUUUCAUAGGAAAACAUUAUAGUCAUGAUUCUUGUGAAGGCACCGUGUUGACUUGGGAAGAAGUUAGAAUUUGUAGCAUUCUGUCCGCAUCAUGGAAUUAAAUCUGGGGUCAUUGCAUGGAUAAUACACAGCAAGAAUUCCAUUUCUCUCAUUUCGGUUGCUUCAGAUUUCACUUCUCUAAAAAAAUCUCAUCAUUUUUUUAUAAUUCCCAAUGUCACAUGCAAGUCAAUCUAAAUUAGCAGAGGUUGAAAAUAUUGUUGCAUUAUAUAUGGCUGGAAUCUAAAUUAGAAAUGUCAAAUCUACCAAUUCCCGAGGUAUCUUGCCAAUAAGCUUGUUCAAUGAGAAAUCUAACCAUUCAAGAUUGGUCAAGUUUCCAAUGGAUGGUGGAAUAUGACCAAAGAAGUUGUUAUGAGAAAGAUUAAACACUAUGAGUGAAUUAAGCUUUCCUAUAACUUCUGGAAUCACGCCCUGGAAGUAGUUAUUGGAGAGAUCAAUGCUUGUGAAUAUGGUUAAAACUUUCACCAAUUCAACCUCUUGUCCUUUUAUUGUCAGAACUACCGAAUAAUCAUAUGACGACUUCCUUCCACAUAUUUUGAAGAACUUCUGCUGUCAGUGAGAUUCGUCAUAGCUUUUAGAUUUUCAAUGUAACAAGUGGGAAAAGGACCAACAAAAUCAUUGUUAGAGAGGUCUAAGACUCGUAGCUUGGGGAAAAGUAGUCUUGCUCUGGAAUUAUUUGCAACACCAUGGAAUUUAUUUGAACUCGAACCAAGCACUUGCAGCAUUGGAAGAGUUUCCAACCAAUUGGGAAAUGUACCCGUGAACUUGUUCUUGCCAAGGUCUAGAACCUAAAGGUUCCUACAAUUGGCCAAAGAUCUUGGUAACAACCCUUCCAUUUGGUUCCCAUGGAAGUUUAGAUUCUCUAAGCUACAGGGUUCCACAAUUGAUUUGGGGAUGGUUCCAUGAAAAUUAUUUGCCCUCAGAUCCUACGCUAAACGAUUUUUACUAAAGUUAAGAAGACAACUAGAAAUCUUGCCACUCAAGUUGUUAUGUGAUACAUCAAUAAUUUUCAGGGAACUGACCAUGCAAAUGAAAGAAGGAAUCUCCCCCGUCAUGUAAUUGUUCGCGAUGGAAAAGAAAGAUAUCUGAACGGGUGGAAUUGGAAGCACUCCUUGAAACAGGUUAGAUUGGAGGUAGAGAAUUACAGCAUUCCUCCAUGUUAAUUGCAAAUGACCUGUUAGAAAAUUAUGAUCAAGGUAUAAAUGUAACAAAGAUUCCUUCCCCACAUUCCACAUCCAUUUGGGAAUCUUGCCUUGAAUUCUAUUUUUGGAAAGGUCUAAAAACUUCAACGCUUUUGAACCUCUCAAGAAAUUGGGGAAUUCACUCAAGUUACAAGACGACAAUGACAAGGACUGGAGUUUGGUCCAUGUGUAGUCGACAUGAUUCUCUGAGCUCAAUGACAGACUAUUAAGAGAAAGAUCGAGUGAUUCAAGAUUUUGGAGCUGGGAAAACAUGUCUAACUCAACAAUGCCACUAAAGUUAUUUAAUGAUAGAUCAAGCACGGUGAGGUUUACAAGUUGAAAGAUUGAGCUUGGAAUAUGACCCUGCAACGUGUUAUUUUUUAAAUAGAUUAUGGACAAAGAUUUUGACCGGAAUUCGCUAAUAUGACCGGUGAGUCUAUUAUUGGCAAGAGACAAUAACUGUAAUGAAGGUAACUUAAACACCCAAGGUGGUAUAGUUGCAUUAAGUAAGUUAGAAGGCAAGAAUAAAGUUACUAAUUUUGAAAACCCAUUUGCAUAAUGAGGAAUAGUGCCCUCUAGUUCAUUGUAUGACAAUUCUAAAUGUUGAAGCUAUGUGAGGUUUGCAAGUGAUGCUGGGAUCCAUCCACUAAACUUAUUAUCCGAGAGCUCUAAGGAAACAAUUUGUGAAAAGUUUACAAGUGAUACCGGGAUUGACCCAUUCAAGUCACAAUUAGCAACAUUUAAAGAUUUCAAUGACUUCAAACCCCUGAUUGAAUCAGACAAUUCUCCAACAAGAAUAGUCUGUUUAAGCCUAAGACUUCAAGGGUAUUAGUCCCAUUGGACUUUGGAAGAUAAACCAGAAGAUCAGGGUUGUUACCUAAUUUGAGCAACUUCAGAUUUGGAAAUUGAAAAAUUAUGUCCGAAAUUGUCCCAUUUAAUCCACAAUCAUCCAGACUAAGAGAUGUCAAAGAGGAAGAAAGGUUCACUAAGUGAACAGGGUCAACUGAACACAUGUCUAUUCCAGGAAGGAAAAGUUCUUUUACCUCGCUAAAGUUCUUAGCUAACCUUUUCAGAGUUGUUGUUUCAAGCUUCAGUGCAUGAAACGGCUCUUGUUCACCGACACCAGGCAGACUGAACCUAGACAGAUCAAGUGAAACUAGCUUGGAAAGAUGUGAGAUUUCGGAUGGAACUUGGCCUGAAAAAAAUGAAGUAGAGAGGUUAAGAUGUGUUAAAUUUGGGAACUGACCAAACCUAGCUGAAAUCUUGGAUUGCCCGAAAUUGUUAAAUGCGAGAUUGAGCCUCUUCAAGUGUUGAAGGAGGAAAAGAGUGCUGUUGGAAGGAAUGGUACCAUAAAGCCAACUGCAACUAAGAUCAAGGCCAAUCACAUGACCUGUAACGCCAUCGCAAGUGACUUCAUCCCAUAAACAGAAAUCUGAAUCUUCCUUCCAUGAGUCUGUCUUAGGAAAAGAAUACGUAGGACUGCCAUAAUUUGAAUUGCAAAGUAACGAAGCAGUAUGAUCAAUAAAGAGGGUCUGCUUGAAGAGAAGCAAAGCCUGACCCUCAUUGUGAGACCAUGAUGGCCUUUGCUUUGAAGAAGUAAAACAAGACGAAAUGUAAGCUUGAGAAUACAAGUAAAAAAAGAGGAAUGAGAUGAAUUGAUAACUCCCAAGAAAACACCUCAUUUUUCCCUACGUCAAAGUUCCUAUAAACUCUUGAUUUGGUUGAUGAGGAGACGCACAGAAGUAUUUAUAAACUCAGUAGCAAGAGCAAUUCUUAAUUUUCUGUUUUCUCAAUCAUAUUUUCCGCUGAAGAGUGACGGAUGAGCUAACACACGCAGAAGACUAACAACAGAUUCUACAUUAUUACAAUAGGGAAGACUCAAAUGAGAAAUGAUGUCAAGUUAUGAAAUCCUGAAAUAAUGGGGGAGGUAGCAACACAGAUUUUCUCGGAAGAUUCAAAUUUCAAUUCCCUCUUUUCACAUUACAAUUCCCUUUCAGGUUGGAUUUGGUUUGGUCACCUCUAAGAAAGCUUGAAUUGCUGCAUAUGGAAAGCAAGCAUGAAAGGGUUUUUCUCGUCAAGUAAUCUACAAUUAUUCCAACUUCCAUGUUUAAAUCUUAUAGGCUUGUUCAAAUUUAAGUACAAAGCUUAUUUUUCUUUCGAUGAGUAUAAAAUCCAAUUUAUUAAUUUGGCUCAAGGUCAAUCAGUUAAUUGGGUUUAAAGCCUCCAAUGCUAAUUGGGUUAAAUGGGUCAGUUGCAUCUCGACUUGACAAGUCCACAUUAAAAAACGAAAAUAAAUACAUAAAAAAUUAAAACAUAAUAAAAUGCAAAAAAUAAAAAACGCUAAUAAAAACAUAAUGAAAAAAACAAAAAAGAGAGAAAAAUGGCAGUUGUUAUACCAAAUAAGAAAUGAAAAUGAAUGAAAGGUUUAAAAUUGCACCCCUUCUUAUAAGAUAUCAAUUCAUAAAAAUUUUCAAGAAAAUGAGAAUUAAUGUUAAAUCUAAAAAAAAGUUCUCAAUAUUUAAGCAAUAAUAGUAAAAGAAAGUUAAAAUAAUUAAAUAUGAAAUUAAAAAUAAUUUGUCAAAGGUUAAAAUAGAAUAACACAUGAUUUACCAAUAUUGUUCUUUAAACAAGUGUCGGUAAUACUUUCAUUAUACGUAAUUGUAUUGUCCAAUUCUAAAACUAUUUCGUAAAUCGGAUUUUAUUUUUUAAAUAAACUUAAAUCAAGUUUAAAAUCUCAUUAGAAAAAAUAAAUUCAAAUAAGUGGUCAAUUACACUUAAAUAAAAAUAAUUAAUAGUGAAUCUUUUUUACCUAAAGCGAUCGGUGCCUAGACUCAUACAAUGCAAUUUAUAUCUAUCACAGUAAAAUCAACACAAAGGACAAAUUGGUCAGCCACUAUUCAAUUAAAUAAUUCUGAAAUUUCCAGGAGACAAUGACUAAUCUAACAAGUGGUAAAUUGAGUUGCCCUUAAACCCACUUGAAAGUGGGAAGCCCAAUCCCAAGUCUUGCAACAAUUUCAUCUUCAAACACAAAUGAUGGAAUUCUGGCAUAACUCAUACAAAUAAAAGAAAAAAUCAAUUAACCUGGGGAAAUCUUCUCGAUGGUAAAAAAUGGGUCAUUUAUUUGUUCUAAUUGCAGGUUCAGUACAUUCUUCAAAUUAAAAAUCUCCAUUUGUCAUGCAACCCAAUGUUAAUGGUAUUCUUUAUUUUCCAUAAAAUUUAAACUUAUCACUCUAUUUAAAUUAAUCACUCAUUGUUCAAUAAGUGUAAUUUUAUCGUAUACUACCAUAUAAUACUUUUUAAUUUGAUUUAUAUAUGAUAAAAAAUUAAAAUAUUUUUCAGAUUAUUCUUUUUUUUCCUCUCGAAAUAUUUUUUUAAUGGUUAACUUUUGAUCUUUUUUUUUUAACUAAAUUAAAAUGUAAAACUGAUAAAAUUAUACUCUUUUAAAAACAAAUGAAAAUUUUGAUUUUUCUCUCCUGGUUUGCAUUUUUUCUAUCUGCUUUCCUUCUACUUAACACAAGCAUGGAAUUGCCUGUGUUGUAACAAGCAGAAUUCUCAAGCAUGACCUGGUUUGUGGAAAUUCAACUCUAUGUUUAAGAAACUCUAUUUUUACAUUCAUCAUCUAUGAUUAACAUGCUUACAAGUUCUUUCUUGUAUAAGCGAGUAAUUUCAUUCAUCAAAGUAUAUGAACAUCCUUCAAGUACAACAAAGCUGUUCACAGAGGACAGUACCUUUAGGAAACAAGAAAGUCAAAACAAACAGGGAGAAAACUGCUAAAACAACCCAAGCAUGAGAACAAAAGACACUUAUUAUACAAAAAUGUAUUCAAGAAAUCUCCAGAGAGCAUCAUCUGUCUUCACAGAGUUCUUCUUCUUCAAUCAUAUCUCUUCAAUCUCCUCAGAAUUUUGUAGCCUACUCUUUGAACCAUCCUAACAAGCCAUUCUGGUUUUCCAAUUGUCAAUAUGAUAUAUCCUGCGGAUAAUCCAAGCACCAAUCCACAUCCAUAACCCAUCAUUACAAAUUUCCAGUCCGAUGGAGAAGAAAAAAUUCCUUCCUCGUGAAAAACAGAUUCUGGUGGCUCUUGUGUGUCUUCCUUGCCACACGUCUUUGACACUGGAAAUCCGCACAAUCCCAAGUUGCCACCAUAGGAAUCAUUCAGAAAGGUAUUGAAUUGAUUUCCCUGAGGUAUAUGUCCAACAAGCUGGUUCUGUGACAGGUUUAACACUCCAAGAAAUUUCAAACCAGUCAACUGCAUAGGAAUCUCCCCGAUAAGCUUGUUGGAGGAGAGAUCCAGUGACUCAAGCGCUGCUAGAUUCCCCAAUGAGGAAGGAAUAUGACCUGUCAGGUUGUUAUGGGAAAAAUUGAGGAUUUGGAGAGAAGAGAGGCUUCCAACUAUUUCUGGAAUUUUUCCUUGGAAUUUGUUGCUCGAAAAAUCAACGGCUGUAAAAACAGUUAGAACUCUCUCAACUUCAAUGUCCAGACCUUUCAUUGUGACAAACAUGGAAAAAUGGUGAUAACCAUUAGGAUUUUCCAUAUAUUUCAUGUCAACAUUGGACAAAUUCAUCAUACCCUUGAAGCUUUUAAAAAAUGCAGUUGGCAAAAAACCAGAGAACUCAUUGUGCGAGAGGUCUAAAAUUCGUAGAACUGAGAAAUUUGAUUCAGCUUCUGAAAGGAGUAUUUGACCAUGGAAAUAGUUGGAGCGUAAGAUAAUAACUUUUAGCUGAGUAAGAGUUCCUAACCAGUGGGGAAAGGUAUCAUUUAUCCUGUUGUUUCCAAGAUUUAACACUUCCAAAUCAUGACAGUUCACCAAGGAUUUAGGAAAUGGCCCAUCAAAAUCAUUGUUCUGGAGAUUAAGUGUCUGUAAUUCAUUUCCAGCCACAAAUGAAUCAGGGAUAUUUCCAUGAAAUUUAUUCAUGUGCAAAUCCAGGAUAUAAAGACCAAGCAUGGUUUCUCCCGAGCAAAGACAUUCUGGAAUAGUUCCACUCAAGUUGUUAUUGGAUAAGUCAAGAAUUGAAAUUGACAUCAAAUUGCAUAUGGCAGAAGGAAUUUCUCCAGUCAAUUUGUUUUUUGAGACUAAAAAAACUUUCGUGGAAGAUGGUGGUACCAGAAGUGGUCCUUCUAGCAGGUUGGAACCAAGGUUAAGAAUCACUAUGUUCUGUGGGUAAUAUUCUAGACCCGUUAAAAAAUUAUUUGAAAGAUCAAGAUAAUUCAAUUUUUUUCCCCAAGUUGUUGUCUGUUUGGAAAUUCGGCCUUCAAUGGUGUUGUUUGAAAGGUCUAGUCGUAGCAAACUCUCUUGAGUUGUCAAAAAAUUUGAAAGUUCAGUUAUAUUGCAAGAAGACAACGACAAAAAACUAAGAUUAGGCAAGACAAGACUAACAUUGCUAUUAUCGCUCAGGGAUAGUGGAAAGUUAUGUGAAAGAUAAAGAAAUUCAAGGCGUUUAAACUUUAAAAACAUAGUUGCCUCGAUGACAUGGAUUUUAUUGUAAGAAAGGUCUAGAUAGACUAAGCCUUCUAGAUUUCUUACAAAAUCCGGAAAUUCACUUAUGUUGCAGGAAGAUAAUUCUAACCACCCAAAAUUGGGCAAGGAAUAAUUCGCAUUGCUUCCACUGGUCAAUGACAGUAAAGCAUUAUUUGAGAGAGAUAGUACCUGAAGCUUGUUAAGCUUUGAGAGUUUGUCCAAUUCGAAGAUGCCAUUCAACUUAUUUGAGGAAAGAUUAAGAUGGAUGAGGUUCACAAGUUUGAAAACAGAGCUUGGAAUUGGACCAUGUAUCUCAUUAUUCUGCAGCUUAACAAUCUCCAAAGGAGCAACCUUCUCAAAUGGGUCAAUAGGGCCAGUUAGCCCGUUAUAACUGAGAUCCAAAUCAACCAAGGUUGGAAGAGUAAACAACCAAUUUGGCACUCUACCAGACAGAAAGUUAUGGUCCAAGUGAAGUCUCAAUAGUCGUGAAAGCCCACUUACGUGAUAGGGAAGGGGACCCAUCAACCUGUUUGUUGAAAAGGACAUAAUUUCAAUUUUUGUGAGGUUGAAUGCUGAAAAUGGAAAAAGACCACUAAGAUCGUUAUUAUCUAAGGACAAGUGAAAAAGUUUGGUGAGGUUCCCAAAACCAUCUGAAAUCUGUCCUACCAAACUAUUAUAGGAAAGGUCUAAAUAUGUGAGCUGCAUGAAGUUAGCAAAUGAAAAUAAAAGUUGGCCAGUAAUUAAGUUCCGUCGCAGGUCUAAAUAGUUUAGUCUAGUGAGGUUGCCAAGAGAUGCAGGAAUUGACCCACUUAAUUGGCAGAAAGAAAGAUCCAAUACCUGGAGAGACCUAAGAUUGCCAAUUGAAUCAGGUACUUCUGCCAGAGAAGAUGAAUAUGAGACUCGUAGCAACUUGAGAGGACCACUCCAAUUAGUCUUUGGGAAGUUGAUUUCCAGGAUAUCAUCAUUACUAAAUAAACUGAACUUCUGGAGGUAUGGCAGGCGCAAAACAUCUUCAGGGAAUUUCCCCCGCAGCCCAUUACUCUCAAGAACAAGAGUCCUUAUGAAAGAAGACAUAUUAAGGAAAGAACUAGGUGCAACUAAAGACAUAUCGAUAGCAGAGAGAUCAAGGUCUCUUAGUUGUGUCAAGUUUCCCAAGAGUUUUUCAAAAACAUGCCCCUCAAAGAUUAAAGGAUUUCCGGAUAUAUCAAGAGAUAAAAGUUUAGAAAGCUGAGAGAUUUCAAGUGGGAUUGUACCUGUAAAUCCUGAGGAACUGAUAUUUAGAUGGGUUAAAUUAGUAAACUGACCAAACUCAAAUGCCAUGCGGGACGGGCCGAAAUAAUUUUCAGCAAGGUUAAGCUUGUGGAGAUGGUGGAGAAGGAAGAGGCUGCUAUUAGAGGGGAUACUGCCUCGAAGGCAGCUGCAACUAAGAUCAAGGCCAAUCACGUUACCUGUUUCAGAAUCACAGUUCACCCCAUCCCAGAAGCAGCAAUUUGUACCCACUUUCCAGGAGAUUGUCUUCCUCUUAUAUUUAUCGCACGAUAAGGAAACAGAGCAAUCGAUGGAAAGGGAAUUCUUGAAUUGGAUUAAGCCAAAGCUCUGGUCAUAAGAACACAACUUAAAUGGAGUAGAAGAAUUGAAAGAGAAACUAGAUAAUGAGCAAUCAACUUGAAAGUUCAAGGACAAAAGGAGGAAACAGAGGACAAAAUACCACUGUAUUAACCUUUUCAUUUUUUUUUUUUCUCUCAGAGAUGACGAAAGUAGAAAAAGGACAAGCUGAAUGUGAAGGUUGAGAGGGAAGCCUGGAGACCAUAUUUAUUGAUUUAUGAUUUCAAGCAAACAAUCACUCAUCAUGUUCACACGUUCAAGCAACUGUUUUCCUUAUUGAUAUUUUUCAAAAGAAACUCAUUUCAUACAUUGUCUAGAUUUCAUCAAUUAAAUUAAUUAGAUUGUCACAUAAUUCAUUAAAAUAUAUGUUAAAAAAUUAAUAAUUUAAUAUGCCGGUCUUCAAAACUCAGAAGACCAAGACUUCGGCCUACCACGUUUCCACUCCGCGUGAGAGAAGGGCCCAAACCAACGACUAACAACAUGACUUUAAUAUCUUCUCCUAAAAGGCGUAAUAGUGAAGGCUGACUAUUGAGGAUGGAGUAGACAGGAAUUGAACGGGUCAUUGAUGCUAAUGCUCUUUCAAAGAGAAUAGUAUGGAGACUCUCUUUCAUCUUCACCAUAAUACUGAAUAUCAAUUUGGUGAAAUCAAUAUAUUAUCCAGGGCAACAAGAGAUUGAAUUUUAUAAGGCAAUAAGGCAUACAGGAGAAGCAACAUUAUCUGCAGCAAGCCAAUAACCCCUCAUAUAGUUCAAAUCAAAUCCCUUUCUUAUACCCUUUUGUAGAUUGGGUAAAAUCUUAAAACCUCUUCAAAACACUUCAAAAAAGGCACUUUAAUCCCUUUUAUUUUAAAAUAAUAUUUUGCAUCUUUGACUGUUAAUAUUAGACCAAAUACUAUAUAAAUAUUUUUUGACAUAAAUAUUCUCUUUUCAAAAAAUCUGCUCAUCAUUCUCCCAAAAAAUUUAAUUAAAAAAAUCUAAAAACUUUUGAUUUGAAGGCUUAGAAAUUUGAAGCUUAAUCUACCUUGAAAACUAUAAACAUCUUUUGAGGUAAACUAUAUUACGGUCACACUCUUUAUUCAUCCAGUAGUUUAAGAAUAUUUUUCAUUAAAAAGAAUGUAUUAAAGCAAAUAUUUUGUUCAAUUAUGGAUAUUUCAAAAUUGAUGGUAUCGGGUUAAGAAAUUAAUUUUUUACUUGGGAUUACUAAUUUUAUUGAAAAAUUUUUGCUCAAAAAUUGUUCUUUGAGGUUAGGGUUUAGAGUGACAUAAAAAGAUUUUGAUUUAAUUACUACAUAUAAAAAGUUUUACGGUUUUUUUUCUUUGUCAAAUAUUAAAUUUUAUAAAAUAUCAAAAUGAUACAAACUACAAUAUUCAUAAAUCCUGUUCUAGAAUUUUAUUAAGUCUUAAGUUUUUUUUUUGUCAAAUAUUGAAUUUUAUUAAAUAUUAAAAUGAAUAAUUUAUCAAGUUAUUGAAAGGAAGAUGAGCAGAAUCUUUUAAGAGUACAUUUGUAUCCUAUAAUAUUUAUACAAAAUUGGGUAUAAUUUUUUUUAAUUGUUGACUAACGAUUUUAACAAUAAAGGGAUCAAAAAUAUCAUUUUGAAACAAAAAAAAUCAAAAUGUCCUUUCAAAAUGUUUUAACGGGCUUUUUGAAUUUUACCCUUUGGAGAUCUUGUUUUCAUUAUGAGAUACUUCAUUGGUCAAAAUUUUCUCUUUGGUUUGGUUAUUAAAUGGAACCAAUUUUGCUUCUUUCUGUUACCAAAACACCCACAACCCUUUCACUCAAUUUUAAAAAUAAAAAUUGGUUGAUUGAUGAAAUUAAUGUAUUUGAUAAUUUUUUUCCCUCAAAUUAAUUUAAACUAUAACGCUCCUGUUAAAAAAUAUAUAGAAAAUACAAAAAUUAAAAAUUGGAUAAAAAGGGGGAAAAGGCCCAAAACCACUUUUAUAGUUUUAUUUAUAUACCAAAACAAAAGGCCUAAUAUGCCUUUGACGUUUUUCUUAAAGUAAAUGACAAAAUCCUUCAAGUGAUCUUUGAUGUCUUACAAUUUGAAGUGAAUCAAAUUUGCAAUUAAAUUUGACUAUUGUGAUCCACUCAUUCAACUGACCAAAAACAUAAUCAGGAUUUCAAGAGUAUUAUUUCUCACAAGCACAUUAGACAGCAUCUGUAGAGUCCAAUUACUUUGCUUCCGUAGCAAGCGGUGUUUUGCGUGAAGAAAAUUAUGGCGUACUCUUUGGGGCCGGGGUCUUUAAAGCUCGUAAGACCGAGACUUUUGCCUGCCACUUUUCCACCACUCCGCUGAAGGCGGGACUCAGACCAAGGACUUACAACAUGACUCUGAUAUGUUCUCCUAAACAGCGUAGUAGUGAAUGCUAACUAUUGAGAAUGGAGCAGACAAGAAUUGGACAGGUCGUUGGCGCUAAUACUCUUUGAAAGAGACUAACAUGGAGAUUCUCUUUCAUCUUCACCAUAAUACUGAAUAUCAAUUUGAUAAAAUCAAUAUGUUAUCCAGGGCAACAAGAGAUUGGAUUUUAUAGGACAUUAUAAGGCAUACAGGAGAACCAAAGACAGUAUAAUACGCAAAUGUAAUCAACAAACCACCGAAGAGCAGCAUCUGUCUUCGCAGAGUUUCUUCUUCCUCAAUGAUAACUCUUCAAUCUCCUCAGAAUUUUGUAGCCUAGUCCUUGAACCAUCCUAACAAGCCAUUCUGGUUUUCCAAUUGUCAGCAUGAUAUAUCCUGUAGAUAAUCCAAGCACCAGUCCACAUCCAUAACCCAUCAUUACAAAUUUCCAAUCCAAUGGACAAGGAAAAAUUCCUUCCUCAUGAAGAGCAGAUUCCGGUGGUUCUUGUUCCUCAUCCUUGCCACACCUCUUUGACACUGGAAAUCCGCACAAUCCCAAGUUGCCACCAUAGGAAUCAUUCAGAAAGGUAUUAAAUUGAUUUCCCUGAGGUAUGAGUCCAACAAGCUGGUUCUGUGACAGGUUUAACACUUCAAGAAAUUUCAAACCAUUUAACUGCAUAGGAAUCUCCCCGACGAGCUUGUUGGUAGAGAGAUCCAGUGACUCAAGUGCUGUUAGCUUCCCCACUGAGGAAGGAAUAUGACCUGUUAGGCUGUUAUGGGAAAAAUUGAGCACUUGGAGAGAAAUGAGGUUUCCAACUAUUUCUGGAAUUUCUCCAUGGAAUUUGUUGCUUGACAUAUCAAUGGUUGUAAAAAGAGUUAGAAUUCUCUCAAGUACCAGGUCCAUACCUUUCAUUGUGACAAGCACGGAAAAAUGGUAAUAACGAUUCAAAUCUUCCAUAGAAGUCCGUUGAACAUUGGACAAAGUCAUCAUACCCCUGAAACUUUUAAAAUAUGUUGUUGGCAAAAGCCCAGAGAACUCAUUGUGGGAGAGGUCUAAGAUUCGCAGAGCUGAGAAGUGCGAUUCAUUUUCUGAAGGGCUUAUUUGACCAUGGAAAUAGUUGGAGCGCAAGACAAGAACUUGCAGCUGAGGAAGAGUUCCCAACCAGUGGGGAAAGGUACCGUUUAUCUUGUUGUUUCCAAGAUUUAACACUUGCAAAUCAUGACAGUUCUCCAAGGAUUUAGGAAACGGCCCAUCAAAAUCAUUGUUGUUGAGGUUAAGUAUCUGUAAUUUGUUUCCUACAACGAACGAAUCAGGGAUGUUUCCAUGAAAUUUAUUCAUGUGCAAAUCUAGGACCGUAAGAUUAGGCAUCUUACCUCUCGAGGCCAGACAAUCUGGAAUAGCUCCGCUCAACUCGUUAUUGGACAAGUCAAGAACUGAAAUUGAUAUCAAAUUACAUAUGGAAUAAGGAAUUUCUCCAACCAACUUGUUUUUUGAGAUUAAGAAAACUUCCAUCGAAGAAUUGGAAGAGAAAUUAGAUAAUGAGCAAUCAACUUUAAAGUUCAAGGACAAGAGGAGGAAACAAAGGACCAAAUACCACUGUAUUAACCCCUUCAUUUUUUUUUCUCAGAAAUGGUGAAAGAAGCAAAAUAGAAAACUGAAUGUGAAGGUUGAGAGAGAUAAGAAUGGAGACCGUAUUUAUACAUAUGAUUUCAAGCAAACAACCACCAGUCAUGUUCACACAUUCAAACAACCAUUUUUAUUACUGAUAUAGACUACAACCCGUGCUUUGCAUACAGACCUCUUUUUAUUUGUUUUUUUCUUUCUCUUUCUACCUCUUUUUUUUUUUUUUCUUCUCUUUUUCCUAUGCCUUUCACGUAGGUAAAGGAGGAAGCCCUAAGUAUGUUAUAAAUUUUUUAAAAGAAAAUUAUUUCAUAUAUUGUUAAUUUGUAAAUUUCAUUAACUAAAUUAAUUAGAUUGUCACAUACUUCAAUAUUAGAAUAUAUUUAAAAAAUUAAUAAUUUAAUAUCAUACAUAAAAAAAUAUGUAACGAUAUUUUAACUUUAAGUUGGAAACAUGGGAUUGUAGUUCUUUUUUUUUCAACCCCCAAUGAUUCAAGUAACCAAAAAACUUAUCGGGAUAUCAAGAGUAUUAUUUCAUAAAACCAAGACUUUCACUUGUCAUGUUUUUACCUUGGUAUGAACGUGGGACUCAAACCAAAGGACUAACAACAUGACUUUUAUGUCUUCUUAAAAAGCAUAAAAUUGAAGGCUAAUCUCUAAGAAUGAAACAGGUAAGAAUUGAACGUGAACGUAUCAUUGAUAUAAAAUAUAAAAAUAUUAUAUAAUUAUAUUAUUAUAUUAUAUCAAUCUAUCAUAUUUAAAGAUAAAGCUCUUUUAAUGGAUCUAAAAAAAUUUUUAAAUUUAUUUUAUAUUAUAUAAAAUUUUUAAUUUUUUUAUAAAUUCUUUUAAUAUCUUUUCUAAAAUAACUUUUAAUUUAAUAAUUAAUGUAAAUAAAAAAUAACAAAAUGAUUCCAUAUGCUUGACUCAAUUUAAAAGUUUUGUUUUAUUUUUUUUCAAUUUAUAUUUUAAUUAUUUAUAUUUACUUUUUUUCAUUUCUAUUAUAUUUAUUCAUAUGUUUUAAAUCUUUAUAAAUUUUCUUCCACAAAUUUCAACGAACAAUCAGUCAUAUUCUUUUUCCUUCUUUUUACUAUGUCAUAUGUGAGUUUAUCUUAUACUUGCCAUGUUUAUAUUUUUUCUAUUAUGUGAAUUUUAUUUUUAUGAUUUUAGUCUUUAAAUAUUAAUAAAUUAUUAUAUAAUUUUCAAAUAUAAGUUGCAAUAUUGUACUAUUGUUUAAAAUUUUAUCAAUAUAUCAUUUUUUAUUCAGAAUAACCGAUACGCUCUAACAUGUAUGUUUCAUACUUUAAGUAACAAGGAUAUAUAUACAAAUUAAUAAAAUUAAAUGAUCGUAUUUCUUUCAAUACAAUUUAUUUAUUAUAUAUAUUUUUAAUGACCCUCAAAAUAAUUUUUUAUUUAAUAAUUAUUUUUAUUCCUCAAAUUAUUUGAUAAUAUUACAGUCAUUAUGGUCAAUAUUUCACUAGUUAAUCCCAACAAAUAAAAUAUUCUAACAUAAUAUGUUAAGCCUAUCAAGUUUUAAAGAAAAAAUAAAUUGACUCUACUAACCUAAACCCAUUAAAUUUUAAUAAAAAUCUAAACAUAUCAUAACAUAUUAUAUCUUAACAGUCCAACCCAAUAGCUUAUCAUAACAUAUUAUAUUUCAAUAGUUCAACUCAAUAACUUAGUAUGUUAAUUAACAAUUUAAGAGGUAAAUAAAAAAUAAAAAAAAAGAGCUUUUUUAAAAAGUUAUUCAUUUUGUAUAAAACACACAAAGUAAAGAGACAUUUGAAUUUGAAAAUUUGUUUUCUCUUCCACUUUUGGGCACAGAGAGUGAAAAAGACUCAUUUCAUAAUUUCAUUCCGUUUAUAUAUAUAUAACGCCAUUAUUACUAUUAAUGUGUAUUUUUUUAUAUAUCCAAUGUUUUAUGAAUUUUAUUUAAUCUUUUAGAUGAGUGAAAAUUAAAUGGUAUAUAAAGUUCUCUGUGACUGUUUAAUGUCUCUUUCUAUUUGAUUCUCUUUAAAAUGCUUUAACUUCGUCAUUGAUCACGUCAUCAUAAUUAUGAUAUAUUAACAUGCUAUGUCAACGUUACGUGAUAUAAAAUGAUAAUUAAUAUUUUGAUUAAAUCAAUCUUUAAUUAUAAUUUUUUUAAGGUUUGGCAGAUGAGAAUUAGGCCACGUCUCUUAACCAUCCAGUUUGCUAAAGGUUGCAAAUUAUUAUAGCCAACUUACCGGUUUAGAUCAUUAUUGGACUCUCCUCAUGUUUCUUCGAAAGUUUUUUUGUUAAAUAGAGACUCUGGUCAAUUGUUAGUAUUGAAUCGCUUUCUUAAUUGAAUUUUUUGAUUAAUUGUCAGUGUUGAAUCACUUUCUUAAUUGAAUUUUACAUAGAAAAUUCAUUCUUUCUUCGAUAUUUCAAAAAAAUAAUCAUAAUUUUUUUUCUUGUUUGAUUAUUAAAUGAAACCAAUUUCUUUUCUAUCUGUCCCCAAAGGUCCCACAACCUUCAUACUCAAUUUUAAAUAUAAAAAUUGAUUGAUUGAUGAAAUUAAUGUAUUUGAUAAUUUUUUCUCUAAUUAAUUUUAAACAGUAACCUUUUUGUUAGAAAAAAUAUAUAGAAAAAAAAAAGAAUGGAUGAAAAAAGAAGAAAAGGCCCAAAACAUCUUUCACCACCAAAAAGCCCAAAACCACUUUCAAUCAAACAACGUUAAAGUCCAGAAACACAAGUAAUGACACGAGUUCGGCUUAAGGUUUAUCCAAAACGACAUACAGUUUUCAUAUCUCUGUCUCCAUUGAUCGUGAAACAAUGGAGGGACGGAUAAAAUACCCUAAAAUUCAAAGAGUAGACUACCAGUCCAAAUUCUUCUCUUAGGUAUUUUUAAUUUUUUUCUUCUCUUGUUAAAAUGUGUUUGGUUGCCUAGAAAACAAAGGAAAAGGAACUAGAAAGCUUGUAAUUCUGUUUCUUUUAUGUUUUUCUAUUUGGCUUUUUGAUAAAACAUUUGGGUUUUGCUAGAAUUGUUAAAUAAAUAAAUAACAUUAACGGAGAUAACUAUGAUAAAGAGAACGAAUUUUUUUUUUUACUGUUGACAAAUGGUGUUAAUAAUAAAAAAAACUAAAAUAUCAUUUUGAAACAAGAAAAAUUAAAGUGUCUUUUCAAAAUGUUUUAACGGGUUUUUUGAGUUUUACCCUUUGGAGAUCUUGAUUUUGUUACGAGAUACUUCAUUGAUCAAAAUUUUCUCUUUUGCUUGGUUAUUAAAUGGAGCCAAUUUCUCUUCUUUCUGUUACCAAAACAACCACAGCCCUUUCACUCAAUUUUAAAGAUACAAAUUGAUUGAUUGAUGAAAUUAAUGUGCUUGAUAAUUUUUUUUUCCUCAAAUUAAUUUAAACUGUAACGCUUCUGUUAAAAAAUAUAUAAAAGAUUACAAAAAUAAAAAAUUGGAUAAAAAGGGGGAAAAGGCCCAAAAUCCCUUUUAUAGUUUUAUUUAUAUACCAAAACAAAAGGCCUAAUAUGCCUCUGACGAUUUUCUUAAAGUAAAUGACAAAAUCCUUUAAGUGAUCUUUGAUGUCUUACAAUUUGAAGUGAAUCAAAUUUGCAAUUGAAUUUGACUAUUGUGAUCCGCUCAUUCAAGUAACCAAAAAACUUAAUCAGGAUUUUAAGAGUACUAUUUCUCACAAGCACAUUAGACAGCAUCUGUAGAAUCCAAUUACUUUGCGUCUGUAGCAAGCAGUGUUUUGCGUGAAGAAAAUUAUGGCGUACUCUUUGGGGCCGGGGUCCUCAAAGCUCAUAAGACCAAGACCUUUGCCUACCACUUUUCCACCCCUGCGUGAAGGUGGGACUUAAACCAAGGACUUACAACAUGACUUUGGCCUGCCACUUUUCCACCCCUGCGUGACAGUGGGACUCAAACCAAAGCACUAACAGCAUGACUCUGAAAUGUUCUCCUAAACAGCGUAGUAGUGGAGGCUAACUAUUGAGAAUGGAGCUGACAAGAAUUGGACAGGUCGUUGAUGCUAAUACUCUUUGAAUGAGAAUAAUAUGGAGAUUCUCUUUCAUCUUCACCAAAAUACUGAAUAUCAAUUUGAUAAAAUCAAUGUGUUAUCCAGGGCAACAAGAGAUUGGAUUUUAUAGGGCAUUAUAAGGCAUACAGGAGAACAAAAGACAGUUAUAAUACGCAAAUGUAUUCAACAAACCAACGAAGAGCAGCAUCUGUCUUCGCAGAGUUUCUUCUUCCUCAAUUAUAACUCUUCAAUCUCCUCAGAAUUUUGUAGCCUAGUCUUUGAACCAUCCUAACUAGCCAUUCUGGUUUUCCAAUUGUCAGCAUGAUAUACCCUGUAGAUAAUCCAAGCACCAGUCCACAUCCAUAACCCAUCAUUACAAAUUUCCAAUCCAAUGGACAAGAAUAAAUUCCUUCCUCAUGGAAAGCAGAUUCCGGUGGUUCUUGUUCCUCAUCCUUGCCACAGCUCUUUGACACUGGAAAUCCGCACAAUCCCAAGUUGCCACGAUAGGAAUCAUUCAGAAAGGUAUUAAAUUGAUUUCCCUGAGGUAUGAGUCCAACAAGCUGGUUCUGUGACAGGUUUAACACUUCAAGAAAUAUCAAACCAAUCAACUGCAUAGGAAUCUGCCCAACAAGCUUGUUGGUAGAAAGAUCCAGUGACUCAAGUGCUGUUAGAUUUCCCAGUGAGGAAGGAAUAUGACCUGUUAGGCUGUUAUGGGAAAAAUUGAGCACUUGGAGAGAAACGAGGUCUCCAACUAUUUCUGGAAUUUUUCCUUGGAAUUUAUUGCUUGACAUAUCAAUGGUUGUAAAAAGAGUUAGAAUUCUCUCAAGUUCAAUGUCCAAACCUUUCACUGUGACACGCACGGAAAAAUGGUAAUAAAAAUUAAAAUCUUCCAUAGAUUUCGUUUGAACAUUGGACAAAUUCAUCAUACCCUCGAAACUUUUAAAAUAUGUUGUUGGUAGAAAACCAGAGAACUCAUUGUGGGAGACGUCUAAGAUUCGCAGAGCUGAGAAGUGCGAUUCAUGCUCUGAAGGGCUGAUUUGACCAUGGAAAUAGUUGGAGCGCAAGACAAGAACUUGUAGCGGAGGAAGAGUUCCCAACCAGUGGGGAAAGGUAUCAUUUAUCUUGUUGUUUCCAAGAUUCAACACUUGCAAGUCAUGACAGUUCUGCAAGGAUUUAGGAAAUGGCCCAUCAAAAUCAUUGUUGUUGAGGUUAAGUAUCUGUAAUUUGUUUCCUACAACGAACGAAUCAGGAAUGUUUCCAUGAAAUUUAUUCAUGUGCAAAUCUAGGACUGUAAGAUUAGGCAUCUUACCUCUCGAGGCCAGACAACCUGGAAUAGUUCCACUCAACUUGUUA